UCAGAAGAUUAUAAAAACGCGUUUAACACCUGCUCGGCUCGUCAAAGGCUGCAUAAACACAUUCAAAUGCGAAAUUUAUUUCACUGUGUUCUUUAUUCCUCGUAUAUUUCGUGGUGUUUUCGCUUGUUUCAUUGUGUAGCUUCGCUAAAGGAAGUGCUUUUAUUUUGACACCGGAGGUUUAUUUUGAAAUGUGGUAAAAACAGGAAGUCGGUGCGAUCUCGCUUACGAUGACUUUACAGGAAAGUUUUUGACGUCGGAGAGCGUAAAAAAACAACAACUUAUUAAACAGCUCAUUCCUGGCUGAAAGGACAUAAAGAUUGUUUUCUUCUGCGCCAUCAACUUCUCUGCUGACCCGUCCCGCAGGUCAACACGCCCAGGGAGAGUCUAAGCGCUGGACUUGGUUCCUGUCCGCCAACUUUCCGGACGCGGAGCAUGCGGGACUGCAACAACAGUGGGAGGUGUCCUGUCCCUCACGCGGGUGCUCAGGAGGCGGGGCCAUAGAGUGGGGAGCCACACCCACUGAGUGGGGAGCAGCCAGCUGGCUGGUAGGAGUAAUAAAGAAGGAGAAUCAAUAGGGCAUGCAAUGGAGCCAAGGUGCUGCCAUUCAUCACGCCGCCUCCCUGACUCCCAUCAUUCAUCAUGCUCAACGAGGCAGCAAAUAGGAAAAUGACUAUUUGUAUCAAACACAUCUGCACUCAUCCACCCAGGUAUUUUAUUCCCAUUAACUCUGCCAGUAAAAUACGCUUCUUGUUGUUUUUCCUCGCCGUGACUCCCCCCCCCACCCCCAUUUUUGUUCCAUCCUCACGUUUUUAUGAGGCUUCCUCCGAACAUCUCCGCCACGCCCACCUUAACGACGUGUCUCGCCGACGUCUUCAUUCCCCGGACCUGAGCAAAACAGAAAUCCAUCCAUAAAUCUGAAACGCUGCACGGCUGCUUAUCCCCGCCUCCUGCCUCAUAAAUUCCCCGGGUUAAGAUGGCGGCGGACGGGCAUGCAAAUAAGGCGCGCUAUCAUCAUGAUAGCGCAACGCCCCAUGAAACGGCGGCAUCAUUACCGUCCUUGGCGCCCAAACGACUCUGCGGCCUUCAGGCGGUGACCCCGCCCCCUUUCGAGCUUCUGAGAGUCUCCUAACCUGGUGUCACACACUUGGCUUGUUCUAGAGCUCCACAUUCAUUAGCAUUUUUAAAAAUCAAUACAGACUUAAGAAAAAAAUGACACCUCCACCUGUCUUUGAUAUUUUUAUUGCCCAACUAAAAAAAAUUGU